UGGGGAAUAUUGCACAAUGGGCGCAAGCCUGAUGCAGCAACGCCGCGUGAACGAUGAAGGUCUUCGGAUCGUAAAGUUCUGUUGCAGGGGAAGAUAAUGACGGUACCCUGUGAGGAAGCCCCGGCUAACUACGUGCCAGCAGCCGCGGUAUACGUAGGGGGCUAGCGUUAUCCGGAUUUACUGGGCGUAAAGGGUGCGUAGGUGGUCUUUCAAGUCGGUGGUUAAAGGCUACGGCUCAACCGUAGUUAGCCUCCGAAACUGGAAGACUUGAGUGCAGGAGAGGAAAGUGGAAUUCCCAGUGUAGCGGUGAAAUGCGUAGAUAUUGGGAGGAACACCAGUAGCGAAGGCGGCUUUCUGGACUGCAACUGACACUGAGGCACGAAAGCGUGGGUAGCAAACAGG
rnacentral:rRNA from 1 species